GACGAACGCUGGCGGCGUGCCUAAUACAUGCAAGUAGAACGCAGUUGCGAACGGGUGAGUAACGCGUAGGUAACUGCCUCAUAGUGGGGGAUAACUAUUGGAAACGGUAGCUAAUCCCGCAUACUGUGUGAUGUACCUGCGUUGUAUUAGGUAGUUGGUGUGGUAACGGCUCACCAAGGUGACGAUAAACAGCCGACCUGAGAGGGGGAUCGGCCAGACUGGGGCUACGACACGGCCCAGACACCUACGGGAGUCAGCAGGAAGGAAGCUUCGGCGAUGAACGGAAGUCUGACCGAGCAACGCCGCGGCAGGGAAGAAGGUUUGCGGAUCGUAAAGCUCUGUUGUUAGAGAAGCGGUAACUAACCAGAAAGGGACGGCUAACUACGGGGCAGCAGCCGGGGUAAUAC
rnacentral:rRNA from 1 species